rfam:Ictidomys tridecemlineatus contig015377, whole genome shotgun sequence.
GUGGAUAUAGCUCAGUUGGUAGAGUGAUUGCUUUUCAUGCACAAGGCCAUGGGUUCAAUCCCCAGCACACACA